UUCGCUGAAGUGCCGGCAAACAGCUGAUAGAACGUAAACAAAAUAAAGCAGCUGUAGUCGAAUUUGUUAACACAUUACGAAUUGGAACUAAAAUAUUAUAAAUGCAGUGCUAAAUAGUCGGAAAUAAUAACACGAAUGUGUAUAAUAUUUAAUUGCAUAUCAUAUAUAUUCAGUUUAACAUAUAUAACAAUACAUUUAUUUAUUAAAUACAAGAGAAAUCAAUUCAUGAAGUCGCCACUUGUUGCGAGUAAUGAGCAAAUAGUGCAAGUGUUUUUCAUUUUAAAACGAUGAAUAUAUUGGCAUUUAAAACAGAAUAGUGUGCAUUUAUAGGUUUCUAAGAUAUUGCCAACAUUCGCUUCGCGGAAUGCAAUUCGAAGGGCACUUUACAUAAUUUAUCGACGGACUUGAAUGCGUAAUGCACACCUUGUCCACCUAAUCUGUUUAUCUACAAGAUAAGCUCUGGCUAUGAAUCUGACGCUUAAUACAACAGAGUAUAACAAGCCAUAGGAAAAAUAACAAGAAGUACAAAAAAACAGCAAUAACAAAAUUAAAACUUUUCAAUCCGCACACAGACGAGUUGUUUUUUGACAAGUGAUACAACUGCGGUUGCAGUUGGCCAGCUUCUCCCUACUGUUCCGGCUAUACGCUUAUCAACGGACAUUCAGCUGAACAACUUUAACCGAGAACCGGGUGAAGAGCAACAAAAGAUGGCAGCAAACACCAACAUUGCCACAACCGACAUCAACAAGCAAGGCGAGCAGCCACGGGACAGCACCCGCAUGACGUUUGUUGCCGGCUCGCUAGCGCCAUCGUCAACAUCAGCAUCGCCACAACAAAAGCGCCAUCAAGAACAAUGCUCUACGAAAAUAUUGCAAGCACUACUGGGUAUUGCGGCGCAACCACAAGGGGAGACACAAUCGGACAAGCUGGAAUCAGAGGCAACGCUAAAGCAGCAGUCGCAUAUGGAAUUGAGCCAAAUUGAGUUGAUCUAUCGCGCGGAGGGUAAUGCAAAUUUGGUGCUAGCAUUGCCGCAAUUUAAAAAAGUUUUGCGUCUGCCAAAAACGUCGAGGCUGCCGACAACUAGCCACAGCAACAGCUCCGAAUAUAACGAAAUGAAAAUUGGUAAUACACAACAGCAAACGGAUGCGAAUGUGGCGAAGGGGCGGCAAGUGCUCGACAAAGAGUGGCAGCAACAUCAACAGCAUAAACAACAACAACAACGGCAAACUCAAGAAAUGCAAUUGCAACAUCAGCCAGAACAGCAAAAACAUCAGGAGGUAGUCCAAAGUGCUUCCGACCCGGCUGUAAAUCAAAAUGCAAAAGACUUGACAAUGGAGGAUUUUGUAGCUUACAUCGAUGUAAUACGAAAACUACUUGGUAGCGAGUAUGUAUUCGAGGCCGAGAUUGUGCGGAUAACGGCAGAGAAGGACAUACGGUGGAUAAAUGAACGAAUUCGUGCGGAGCGACCAGCUUAUCGUCGUGUUAAAGAAUUUUGUGGGGAAUUCGGUUUGUUGCUGCCAGAUGCUACACGCUUACCAAUAGCAUUCGAUAUUUUACUUUCCAAUUUGCAGUCGGAAUUGAUCGGCGACACAUACGCCAUCGAAAUAAAACCGAAGCAAGGAUGGCUGCUACCAACCGAGGUCGUCAGCAAUUUAUUCGAAUUGAAGAAAAGGCCAGCGCUGGCCACUGCAACAGCAGCAACGGCUGAGCAGCAGCAAGAAACCAAGAGAGCGGAGGUUAUGGCGAAGCCAGCGCGCUGCCACGUCGCAAGGUGUCGCUUCUGUGCGAUGCAAUUUCUGAAGCUGCACACGGGCAAAAUCAACAGGCGAACUUCUUAUUGCCCGCUGGCGUUGUUUUCCGGUGUUCCAGCGCAAAUGGCUACCGCAAUCGAUGCUCUGCUUCGCUGUCCGCAAAAUAAUUUAAGGAUAUUUCGUAACGGUACUUUAGUAUAUGAUGGCGAAAAGCAUUGCUACGAAGACUUGACGCAGAACAUAUUUCCAGGCAGCCAAAUAGAGCUUUUAAAAGAUUUGGUGGUGGCGUGCCUGCUGAGGGACUACACGGCCAACAACAACAGUAGCGACAGCAGCGAAGGUAGCAGCAGCAGCAGUGUUGCAACCAACAACGAACCCGUUGAAAUUGUUGAAGUAGCCAAAGCUGCUUCUGGUCAGCCACACUUAAGCGCGGUGGCAGCACAAAGCGCAACGGCAGAGAAGAAACAAAGAGAGGACGAAAUGGGGAGGACGUCGGAAGAAAGCAACGUAAUGCUAGCACAUCUAACGGAUGGUGCCCAAGAGGCGACGGAGCCGACAGCACGAGUGGCUUCUCGAAGCUCACCGACUCCACCCCGUCCACGGACCAAGACGACGACAAGAGCUGACACUGUUGCACUGGAGACAACUUCGCAAGCACAAAUCACCGAAGUGGAAACGCUGUGCUUACCGAAAAAUUGUGUCCUGCAAAAAAUUUUGCAUCUGCAAUUGUUGGCCAAGCACCACAUGCCCGCCCUGCAUGCGGCCGGUUAUACGCGUAAGUCGGAAAAAUCAUACAACGCCUUAAAAGCCUUGUUGCAACGUUCAUGCCAGCAACAAAUUGGAGAUGCAUUGCAGCCCGUGGAAGCGUACAUGUUGGGCGCCACAGCGCUGGACUGCUCGAUAAUGCUGGCGUUUCAGGAAAUAUCCACGCACCAUCCAAAGCGCGCGCAUCCACGGUCGCCUGAAUUGACAACAGCGACGUCGCUGCCGAGGCAUUGCGUCGUAAUGCCGCUCUACGAAAGAACAUUUCUCACCAAAGUCACGCUGGUCGACCUGGAUCCAAAACCUGAUAGUCACUUGUGUAAAUACAUUAAACAGACGUCUCAAGCCCUCAACUUAUUUAUGGAUAGCAGUUCGUGAUGGCUAGCUGGUAUGUGUUGGCGCGUGUGUGUGUUCACAAGGGAAACGCGCCUGCAAAAGACUUGAAAAGGAAGUGCAGCAUAAUAUUAACGCUCCGAAAUGUAAAUAUAAAUAUGUAAAUAUAUCUCACUUUUUUAUUAAUAUAUGCUUCAUAAUAAAUGCAGUGUUAAGCUAAAAAAUGCACUCACCCUCAGUGCGAAGCCUUUCAUACAUACAUACAUAUAUACAUAAUUGCAUUUCAAUAUCUUAUUCAUACACAUUCAGCUAUAAAAGCAGCUUUAAGUUCUUUGAGUUAGUGCUAAAAAUAUUCUGGAAGUGUAAAUUUAAGCUUCAUUUUCGCAACCCUGCCUGUAACUCAAAAACUAUUUGAGGUAUUGAUUUGAGAUUAAAUUGUUUUAAUUUUUGUAACGUAUAAACUAUCGAAAUCUAAAAAAUGCUCUGGUAACUCUACAAAGUAAAAGGAAAAAUAAGUGAAGGUUUUAUUUCGUUGUCUGUAUUAUUUCAGUAAGCAGAGUAUCAAAGCAUAGCACUGAAGAUCUAAUUUCCUUCGAUAGGUGUAACCGAAACUUAAUUCAGCUGGACCGCCGUUCACAUAUUUUUUAUUCUGCUCCAUAAAGGAAAGUAACUACGUUUUGAACCACUGUGCUCUUAAAAUAAAUGUUCGUAGUAAGAAACGACGGACUGGUGGCGUCUGGGCGCACCCUUAAAUAAAAAUGCAAGCUAAGUAAAUUCGUUUUGCAUUAGAAAUAAGUAAAGUAUUUUCUACUUACGUUCAAGACGAAUUUUUAGUACCGCUAAAAUUACUAUUCAUUAAUUAAUAUUCAAAAAACUGUGAAGACUGAUUGUAAUAAAAUAGAGAAAGUUACCGAACUUUGACGCGUAAAAUUUCAGCUCUACUAAAUACGAACAAUGCAAAACAAACUUACUGACUGAAUGUAGGGUGCAAAAAACAUUUGCUAAAGCUAACCUCAAAAAAGAUAACACUCAUAGACUUACACACCACAGCACGGCAGCAGGGCACUCCUUAAUUAAUUUACAUGUGCCUGCUGUGCUAAAAAAAACAUCAUAAAUAACAUAAAAACCGAAUGCCAUGCAAAGUAUGAAGGUGCCGAGCCGUGCCCUAACAGGACAACACCAGGAAGUGGAGCAGCCAACAGACAACAGUCGCUCUUUUGCUAAAAAGUUCACGCACGUGGAAAAAUGCUGAGUUUGGAAAAAUGUUUAGAAACUGCUACUAUUCAGUCAUGCAGUGGAAGUCAGCGUAGAAAGUUUAAAUUGGACUGGGCGAUUGUUGUGAGUUUUGAGAUUUUGUUUUCCAAACGGCUGAGUUUAUUACACACACGCAUAUUUAAAUCGGCGACAAUAACAAAUCACUAUGGGUAAUAAAGUUGCCACAUUCACAGAACAACAGUUGGAUGACUAUCAGGACUGUACAUUUUUUACGCGUAAGGAAAUUUUACGGUGAGUUUGCUUGAUUUUGAAGAGAAAGUUGGAGACAAGGUGAUUGCAGAAAUAGCUAAAGUCAGUUAUCACUUUUACUAAACGUUUAGAUCUACCUCAAUAGGUGACCGGGAAAGUGGAAUUUACUGGAAGAUGCAAUCUUGUUUCCAAGUGGUGAAGAUUCCGCCAAUACCAACCUUUGUCGAUUAUAUUGGCACUUGCAUGGAUUAGAAUGCCAAAUGGACACACGUUUGAGGCUUCUAGAAAUCGAUUUUAAAGGCCUUGACUAUAACUCUGUCCCUGAGGUUCUACUUUAGCUAGUGCAAAAAUAAUAUUUAUAUAAUAUCAAGACUAAUUAUAAGGCGACUAGUUAGCCAAUGAAGUUGGCGCUGGUGACCAGGCUCGAACGUUGUUCUCAACUGAGUAUAAAUCAAGUGCCAGCUGUCAAAAAGACCAACUUCGAAAAAAGUAGUACCUCAUUGAAAACCACACGUCUAAAAAAACACCCAUUAUAACUUUAAAAAGUGAUCUAUAUAAGAACACACAAGUCUUUGGACGUCUCCAGUAUGAGACGCAGAAAAAAGUUGUAUGGUUGAAGCGUUGAUGUGCGCAUGUCGAAAAUUUGCUAUAACUGAGUAAAAAAAGUUUUCCUCCGAAGAUAGGUUAGACGAAGCAACACAGAGUGAAUUACUUCCACGCACUUAAACGGAAUAUCUUCCGAAAUAAUCCAUACUUAAGUUAAGUGAAUCCACUUAAGUUCUGUUACCGAAUCAAAAUAUGUUACCGGCUGGUGGCGAUUAUUAUUCUCCUAUUAAUUUUGAAAGAAAAACGAGCUUAAGGUAGGAGGUAAGUUGCUUGGAGCACAACUGCUAACCUGUACAAAUGAACUCAUCAAAUUCUGCAAAACAUUUUAAAGAAUUUUAAAGAAUUAUACAUCCUUAGACCUUGUUCUAAUAACCAGAAAACCUUCAAAAAACUCAUAGUUUCGGGCACAAUUUUGCUUUGAAAUUUAGUGCCGUCAAUGGCACCGAACUCCACUUCGAGUCGCCAUCGCACGUCUAACUUAACCCGGCAACUUUAAAUUUAAAGAGCUCAAUUCUAUGCAAUGUUCUGGCAGCUUGCAGCCUUGGCCGCUUACUUGCAACUCCUUUUAUUACUCGGUAAGGAUAAUUUUACACUGACCUCAGCCAUUGACAGCGAACUGCGCUCAUAAUUUUCGCAUUCGCUAUUGUUGUCGUUGCAUUUCAUUGUGUGCCUUGCAACAUUACGAACAACUCCUUUGUUGUGCACAUUCUCCUUGUACGCUUUGUUCGUGCAUUUUUUGUGUGCAACAUUUUGCAUGCAUUAACGUUUCCGUGCCAGAAGUAUCGCUUACAUUCCCGAACAUGCCAUCAUUAUGGUCUUUAGUCGUGGCAUGCUUAUCGAUUGCGUAGGCGACACCGAGUGGCGAGAACAGUGGCGCAACAACACAUUAAAGACGGCAACAUGAAAACUAUUCGCGUGGUGAAACUCAGUGCUGUGAACUAACGGAAUGUUGCCAAAAUCGGAAUGUUUAUUGUGGUGUAUAAAUAUCCGCUAACUAAUCCAUACGCUUUCUUUUCGCUUUUCUUUUGUCAUAGCGUUCACAAGCGUUUUCGCGAGCUACGUCCGGAUUUGGUGCCACGCCAAAUGACCGAGGGCCAGGCGUCCAGUGUCAAGGUGCCGUGCGAGUGUAUUGAGAAGAUGCCCGAAUUGCGCGAGAAUCCCUUCCGGCGGCGCAUCUGUGAGGCCUUCUCGCGCGAUGGCCAAGGCAAUUUAUCCUUCGAAGAUUUCCUGGACGCAUUGUCCGUGUUCAGCGAGCAGGCGCCGAGGGACAUUAAAGUUUUUUAUGCCUUCAAAAUUUACGAUUUUGAUCAGGAUGGCUUCAUUGGUCAUGGCGACCUCAUGUCUUGCCUCACCACCAUGACGAAGAACGAGCUAAGUCCGGAGGAGCAUCAACAGAUUGCCGAUAAGGUAAUGGAGGAGGCGGACGUGGACGGUGAUGGGAAAUUGUCAUUUCUAGAAUUCGAGCAUGUCAUACUGCGUGCCCCGGACUUUCUCUCCACCUUUCGCAUACGCAUCUAAUAUACUAUACUAAUAUGCAGAUAUGACUCUGAGAAUUUUUUUUCUACAAAUACAUACAAAUAAACACAUACACAUAAUUGUGUAUAUGAUUUGCA